rnacentral:misc_RNA from 1 species
GAUGAAGAACGCAGUGAAAUGCGAUAAGUAAUGUGAAUUGCAGAAUUCAGUGAAUCAUCGAAUCUUUGAACGCACAUUGCGCCCGCCGGCACUCCGGCGGGCAUGCCUGUCCGAGCGUCAUUUCAACCCUCAGGACCCCCUUUCGGGGGGGAUCUGGUGCUGGGGAUCAGCGGCCUCCGGGCCCCUGUCCCCCAAAUUGAGUGGCGGUCGCGCCGCAGCCUCCCCUGCGUAGUAGCACACCUCGCACCGGAGAGCGGCUCGGCCACGCCGUGAAACCCCCAAUUUUUUAAGGUUGACCUCGGAUCAGGUAGGAAUACCCGCUGAACUUAAGCAUAUCAAUAAGCGGAGGA